UAAAGGGAACGCAGGUGGUUAAUUAAGUCUGAUGUGAAAGCCCACGGCUUAACCGUGGAGGGUCAUUGGAAACUGGUUGACUUGAGUGCAGAAGAGGGAAGUGGAAUUCCAUGUGUAGCGGUGAAAUGCGCAGAGAUAUGGAGGAACACCAGUGGCGAAGGCGGCUCUCUGGUCUGUAACUGACGCUGAUGUGCGAAAGCGUGGGGAUCAAACAG
rnacentral:rRNA from 1 species